UUGGUUCCUUUGAGUUUUCAGUCUGUGA
rnacentral:piRNA from 1 species